rnacentral:misc_RNA from 1 species
GAUGAAGAACGCAGCGAAAUGCGAUAAGUAAUGUGAAUUGCAGAAUUCAGUGAAUCAUCGAGUUUUUGAACGCAUAUUGCGCCCUCUGGUAUUCCGGGGGGCAUGCCUGUUCGAGCGUCAUUAAAUAACCCUCAAGCAUAGCUUGGUGUUGGGCUUUUUUACGUCCUUGACUGGGAUGGGCCUAAAAAUUAGUGGCGAUGGCUUUUUUACUUUCAAGCGUAGUAAAUCUCGUCUUGCCAAAGAGGAAAAAGAUUUUUUUUCUGCCAAAAAUUUUAACAUUUAAAGUUGACCUCGGAUCAGGUAGGAUUACCCGCUGAACUUAAGCAUAUCAAUAAGCGGAGGA